rnacentral:rRNA from 1 species
ACAGCAGCCGCCGCGGUAAUACGAAGGGUGCAAGCGUUAAUCGGAAUUACUGGGCGUAAAGCGUGCGUAGGCGGUGAGUUAAGUCUGCUGUGAAAUCCCCGGGCUCAACCUGGGAAUGGCAGUGGAUACUGGGUCACUAGAGUGUGGUAGAGGGUAGUGGAAUUUCCGGUGUAGCAGUGAAAUGCGUAGAGAUCGGAAGGAACAUCUGUGGCGAAGGCGACUAUUUGGGCCAACACUGACACUGAGGCACGAAAGCGUGGGGAGCAAACAGGAUUGGAUACCCGCGUAGUCCCUGUCUCUUAUAC